ACAAAAUAACCCUAAUCAUCUCAACUCUCUCGAUAUUUUCAUCUUUCUUCUCCGAUUUUCAAUUUUCGUCUUUGAAUUUCCACUCCGGUUUCAAAUUUCUCACAUUCCUUUCCUUUCGUCCAGUUUCUGGUUUUUACUGCUCUGUUCUGCUGCUCCGCAAUCUACAGUUCUGCAAUUGGUCGUUCUAUUUCUCAGGUUUUCUACUCAACGAUCCACAAUUCCACAAACCACCAAUUUUAAGCGCAUACUCUCUCACCUCCGUUCAUCUUUCUCUCCGGCUCCUGUCUUUCCGCCAUUAGACAUUCGUAUUUCCAUACUCUCUCAUUGCCGUUCAUCUUUGUCUCGUGCUCCUAUCUCGCCAUCAUUAGACAUUCAUAUUGUAAGUUUAAUCUAUGUUAUUUCCUCAUAUAUGAGUAGAUGCAUUUUGUAGUCCUCUCUAAAUUGUCUAAUUUAUUCAUAUUUGUUAUGUUUUGCCUUGUAAGUGAGUCACAUUAGAUUGAAUAAAUUGAUAUGAAAUGAGUUCCUUGGAACUAAGUCCUUUCUCUUGACAAAAAAUUGUAAUUGUUAUUACUGAUGUAUAGUGUAAGGAUUACUUUAUGAUAGCAGUAUGUUUUCCAUGAAUGAAUUAGCUGGGAGAAACACAAAAGUUUUUGUUGUGCAUGUAGUCUUAAAUAGUAUAUAGGCACAAAGUUUAGACCACUAAUUUCACAGGAUAUGUUAUUAUGAUUGAGUGUGUUUUAAUCUAACAGUUCUGAAAAUGUGUGCUAUAAUCAAACAUGAUAUAUAGUUUUCUGUAUCGGACAGGUAUAUGGUGUUAGAUAUGUGUUAGACACCGAUACUUUGACUAUUUUGGAGUAUCGGGGUUUCUUAGAGUUCAAGAGAUUUGGUAGAUUGCUGAUUAUAUCCUUAAGCUAACAUUUCUCUA